ACGCUUAUGGUGUAACGGUAGCAUCUAAGUCUCCAAAACUUAGGGUUGAGGUUCAAAUCCUUGUGGGCGUG
rnacentral:tRNA from 1 species